UACGGAGGGUGCAAACGUUGCUCGGAAUCAUUGGGCGUAAAGCGCACGUAGGCGGCUUCUUAAGUCGGGUGUGAAAGCCCUCGGCUCAACCGAGGAAGUGCAUUCGGAACUGAGGGGCUUGAAUACUGGAGAGGAUGGCGGAAUUCCCGGUGUAGAGGUGAAAUUCGUAGAUAUCGGGAGGAACAUCAGUGGCGAAGGCGGCCUUCUGGUCCAGUACUGACACUCAAGUGCGAAAGCGUGGGGAGCAAACAGG
rnacentral:rRNA from 1 species